ACGGUGCCCGCAAAUGCCACGCGACUAGACGGCACUUUGUGUGUGCGCUACAGUAUCCGUCAGUGGCUAUGUUACUUCAGGAGAUUGGGUAAAAAGCGGUUUAAUAACGAUGGUGAUUUUGUUUCUAGGUGUCUCGGAGGCCUGAGCUGCGCAUUUCCCUCCUGAAACUCCGGGGAGAAUCCCCCUCCCCGCCGCCUCCCGCCGCCCGCGCCCCGUCAGCGUCGUGUGUUCCCGUCACUGGGAACGGCCUUUCGGAUCUCACAGAAGCAUGACUGAACCAAUGUUUAACUUUUACCCCUAAGAGAGGGCCAAUCCAGAAAGAACCUUUGACUUGGUAUUGAAAGUGAAAUGUCAUGCCUCUGAAAAUGAAGAUCCUGUGGUUUUGUGGAAAUUCCCAGAGGACUUUGGAGACCAGCCGAGAAACCUACAAUGCGCUUACUAAUUGGUUAACAGAUGCCAGAACGCUAGCGAGUCAGAACAUUGUGAUCAUCCUCUGUGGAAACAAGAAGGACCUGGAUGCAGAUCGCGAAGUUACGUUCAUAGAAGCCUCCAGAUUUGCUCAAGAAAA